ensembl:lncRNA
GACCAGAAGACAUUCCCGAGAAUCUCAGGACGUCCCUCUCUCCGUUUGAGCCAACCGAGGGGCGGGACAGCUUCCUCCUAGUGGUCCCAGGACCGAGAAGGGGACACGCUCCCAGCAUGUCUGCACGCUCCGACUCCAAGGACCUCGGCAGAGUUCACAAUCAACUCCAGUCACGUGGAAUGUAAUAGACUGCCAACCCUGUGAAGAUCGAGUGACAGAUUCAGCCUGUGGACACCAGCAGGAGGCCUUGGCGCUGAGAAAAUGGAGGUUCAGCCUCCUGGCUCAGCUGCACCCUGACACUCUCCUUGUUCGGCUGGAACCUCCAUCACACAGGCCAGCCCCCAUCAGAUUGGGAUGAGGAACAGAGGCUCACAGACGCUGGCCAGAAGCAUGAGUCUGGAAGGGAUCGGGGGUCCACGAAGAACAAGAAAGAACGCCCCGGCACUGCUGGCCUCCCCCGGUGCCCGGUGUCCGCGGACACACUCGCCCCUGUGCUAAGCCGGGAGACCCAAAGCCAAGCCGCCUGGGUGGGCCCUGAGACCGUCCCGUCACCUGGGGCUGCUGCCUCCGCGGGCGCUCAUUACACGUUACAUUCUUCUUGCAUCAGCAUCGCUCGCGCCGCCUGCAAAGCAGGGACUGAAAGCACCAGAGAGCGAGCGGAGGGCGGCGCGCAGAGAAGAGCCGGGAGCGCACGGUUCGACCGCAGUCGCCUCCGCGGCGAGGAGGGCGCGGGGCGCGCGGAGCUGGGGCCGCACCGGCAGCUGCAGCCUCGCCCCCUCGGGGCGGCCCUAGCUGCACAUGGGGUGCAGCCUCCUGCCCCAACCCGUCUUCUUCCCACGCGCCGACUUGGAGCCCGCGGGCGGCUGAGCCCUGGGCCGGCCUCGGCCUGCGUCCCGGCUCCCGCGCGCCUCUUCCUGCUCUUGCUUCCCGCCGCUUCCUCCUGGGUUUUCGUCUCGGGACGGCGCCCCUCCAGCCUCGGCCGCCGCUCCCCUCCUCUCGGGCUUUGCGGGUCGCUGACGGGGCGGGAGCUGACGCCGCCUGCUCGACCCAGGGCCCUGCAGGCCGUGCGGGCCCGCUUGGGCCAGGGGCUUCCUGGCCGCCGGGUCCUCGGACUAGGACUCCUCGCUCUCCGCGCCCUCCGACGCCUCCUCCGAGCCUGUGUCCUAAGCCCCCUCCGACGCCUCCUCCGACUACCGGUUCCCGCGGGCGGCCUGCAGCGCCAAGACCUCCCCCAGGUGGCCUUUGGAGAAUAUCAACCUCCUGCCCUCCCAGGCCUUUUCCUUUUUUCCCCUCCAUCACCUCAGCCACGUCCUAGGUCGGCCGGAGCGCCGCGAGCUCCAGGAGCCCCUCCCCCAUCUUCCUCCUCAUCCCCCCCAGCUCCCCAGCGGGCCCCAGGGAGCCUUCUUGCCCUUGGAGGAGGUCUAGGGCUCAGCCCUGGUGGAAGUGCCUUCCAGCAGGGUUCCCUAACAUUUCAGGCAUUCCUCAGGACCACGGAGGCCACCUGGCGGCCUGCCUCCUCCACCUUCAUGCGAUUCCGAGGUGUCCUCGGCCAUGAGGACAGGACCUGGAGCAGGACCUCUCGUCUUCCUUGUCCUUCAGCCCAGCGACUCCAUCACAGAAACCAUUUUCAACAUCUCCCUGCGAGUUUUGGUGUCUGAUGAAAUCCCAUGGGCCAAGAUGGCUAGAGCUUGGGGUCCUCCACAUCCUUCUGGGUGACCUGGCCGUCUCACUUCUAGGACCAACCUCCAGAAGAGUCACUGCCCUCAAGCAGCUCAUCAGGUGUGUCCCUCUUGACCACAAGAACCACCAGGUCAGGAUGUCGCUCUUGGCUCCUCUGACGGACAGGCUCAUCAAACCAAAGGGCUCUUUCUCUGUCACCUCCUUCUUGGUUUUGUCCAAAAGAGUCACAUGGCCAAGAACUCCAUGGGGACCCUCUGCCUCAUUCAUGUCUCUGCAGGCCUUCCUUGCAGCCCGUCUGGAGUGUUGUGUGCGGCACAACACUCGGGGACUGUCCUUGUCAUUUGUCCCCACCCAAGUCCUCCUCUUCCACCUCUGCCAUCCUGAUGCAGGCUCUGAGGGAAGAAGGGUCCUUUGAAUCACUUUCUGCAGAGGUACAUGGCUGCCCUCCACGGCCCCUUUUUUGGCCUCUGGCUCUAUUUCUGUGACCCUCAGCUUACUACCGUGCUAGCCUUGCUGGCUGCUCCAGAAAGGGGGACCGGGUCUUCUAAUUAGGAGGGGUGUCCCCAGGGGCUCUGGCCUCUGUAGCUUGUGGGGCCUUCCAACCAGCAGCUAUCGUUUCAUCUGCCUCAGGGCACUCAUGUCCUCGGAGCGAUCCUUGUACAGAAUCCUCCAGAUGCCGUCCUUGUCCGGAAUCUCCUUGGGAGGGGUGUGGUUAAUGUCC